rnacentral:rRNA from 1 species
GACGAACGCUGGCGGCAUGCCUAACACAUGCAAGUCGAACGAGACCUUCGGGUCUAGUGGCGCACGGGUGCGUGACGCGUGGGAACCUGCCCUUAGGUUCGGAAUAACUCCCCGAAAGGGGUGCUAAUACCGGAUAAUGUCUUCGGACCAAAGAUUUAUCGCCUUUGGAUGGGCCCGCGUUGGAUUCGCUAGUUGGUAGGGUAAAAGCCUACCAAGGCGACGAUCCAUAGCUGGUCUGAGAGGAUGAUCAGCCACACUGGGACUGAGACACGGCCCAGACUCCUACGGGAGGCAGCAGUGGGGAAUAUUGGACAAUGGGCGAAAGCCUGAUCCAGCAAUGCCGCGUGAGUGAUGAAGGCCUUAGGGUUGUAAAGCUCUUUUACCCGGGAUGAUAAUGACAGUACCGGGAGAAUAAGCUCCGGCUAACUCCGUG